rnacentral:rRNA from 1 species
CCUACGGGAGGCAGCAGUGGGGAAUAUUGGACAAUGGGCGAAAGCCUGAUCCAGCAAUGCCGCGUGAGUGAUGAAGGCCUUAGGGUUGUAAAGCUCUUUUACCAGGGAUGAUAAUGACAGUACCUGGAGAAUAAGCUCCGGCUAACUCCGUGCCAGCAGCCGCGGUAAUACGGAGGGAGCUAGCGUUGUUCGGAAUUACUGGGCGUAAAGCGUACGUAGGCGGUUAUUCAAGUCAGAGGUGAAAGCCUGGAGCUCAACUCCAGAACUGCCUUUGAAACUAGAUAGCUAGAAUCUUGGAGAGGUGAGUGGAAUUCCGAGUGUAGAGGUGAAAUUCGUAGAUAUUCGGAAGAACACCAGUGGCGAAGGCGACUCACUGGACAAGUAUUGACGCUGAGGUACGAAAGCGUGGGGAGCAAACAGGAUUAGAUACCCUGGUAGUCCACGCCGUAAACGAUGAUAACUAGCUGUUCGGGCUCUACGAGCUUGAGUGGCGCNGCUACGACAUUAAGUUAAGUUCCGUCCGUCGGGAGGUACGGUCGGCGAAGAAGUUAAAACUUAACUAAAUUAGUUAAGUUAGUUACGGCGUGAGACGUUGCCGACGGACGACCGACGAGGGGAGGAGGAG